UACGUAGGGCGCGAGCGUUGUCCGGAUUUAUUGGGCGUAAAGAGCUCGUAGGCGGCUUGUCGCGUCGAAUGUGAAAUUUUAGGGCUCAACCCUGACAUUGCAUUCGAUACGGGCAGGCUUGAGUUCGGUAGGGGAGACUGGAAUUCCUGGUGUAGCGGUGAAAUGCGCAGAUAUCAGGAGGAACACCGGUGGCGAAGGCGGGUCUCUGGGCCGAUACUGACGCUGAGGCGCGAAAGCCAGGGGAGCGAACGGG
rnacentral:rRNA from 1 species